UCCAUUCUUCUCUGAGCCUGAAAAUAGAAACAAAAUAUACACAAAUGGAGUAUUCAUCUCCAUGGCUUUUGGUUCAGGGAAGCUUCCUUCCUUUUUAUUCUGAAGGUGUCUGUGUAUGCAUGUGUGUGCAUGCAUGUGUUCAGGUUUUAAAAGGCAUGCAGAAGACUUGCAAAUUUAAAUAUAUACAUAUUUGAACUCUCACUUCUGUUUGAGCACUAUUCUAGUCUUAAUUCUCUGAAAUUUCCCUUGAAAGUGCAAUAUCUUUAAAGUAUAGGAGGGGGGAAAAAAAACUUCAAUCUAGAAUUAUUUACCCAGCAAAGCUAUCUUUCAAAAACAGAGGUGAGAUAAAGUUGUUUUCAGAUAUGCAAAAACUGGAAGAAUUCACUACCAGCAGAUUGUCACAUAUGACGUGUUAAAGGAAGUCCUUCAAGCAGAUGGAAAAAUGACACCACAUGGAAAUCUGCACAGUGGAAUGAAGAGCACCUGGAAGGACAUCUGUGUGUGUGCGUAUUAAUACUUUUUUUUUCUUACUAUUUAAAUCUCUUUAAAAGAUGGUCAGUGGUUCAUGGGUAUUCCCUGGCGGUCCAGUGGUUGGGACUCUGCGCUCCCGCUGCAGGGGGCACGUGUUCUAUUCCUGGUCAGUGAACUAGGAUCCCUCAAGCCGCACGGCACAGCCAAAAAAAAAAAAUAAUAAUAAUAAUCAGUUCAAAGCAAAACUGUUAAUGAUGUAAUAUGGUGUUUAUAACAUAUGUGGAAGUCAAAUUGUACUCUGUAUAAUAACACAAAGACCAGGAGCGGAGAGAUGGGACUAUAUGAUUGUAAGGCUCUUACCCUCUACAGGAAAUAAUGUAUCACUUGAAGGUAGACAGUGAUAAGUUAAAGAUGUAUAUGUAAAUGUUAAAGCAACCACUAAAAUAACACACAGAGAUAUAGUUAAAAAGCCGAAAGAGGAGAUAAAAUGGAAUCAUAAAAAAUGUUUAAUUCAGAAGUAGGCAGAAAAAGAAAGGGAAUAAAUAACUGUUGAGAGAAAAAGGUGACAAAUAACAAGAUGGUAGAUUUAAACCCAAUCAUACCAAUUAAUGUUAAUGACAUAAGUAAUCCAAUUGAAAUGCAAAGGUUGACAGAUUGCAUUAAAAAUAUCCAAAUAUAUGUUGCCUAUAAGAAACUCGUUUUAAAUAUGAAGACACAAAUAGGUUAAAAGUAAAAAGAUGGAAAAAUAUCCCAUCUUAACCCUAAUCAACGAAGGCUGGAGUGGUUAUAUUAACAACAGACAAGGUAGAGUUCAUAGCAAAGAAUAUUACCAAUGAGAAAGAGGGUUGUUUUGUAAUAAAAGGUUUAAUUCAUCAAGAGUAUAUAAUAAUCCUAAACAUUUAUGUACCUAAUACAGAGCUUCAAAAUACAUGAAACAAAAUGUGAUAGAUCUGUAAGGAGAAAUAGACAGAUCUGCAAAUCUUCAGUACCCAUAUUUCAACCAUCAGUAAAACAGACAAGAAAUCAGUAAGGAUAUAGUUGAACAACACUAUCAACCUACUGCUCCCCAGUAAUUAAAGGCAGUAACUCCCCAACAUCCCUCUUCUGUCAGUGUUUGUUUCUCUAUGAUAAAAAUAACAAUGAGGAAACUGAGGCACAGGGAGACUUGCUACUCAUCCGGAGGGCUCUUCCUUUGGCAUCUUGCUGCUGCUAUAUUCAAUCCUGGAUUAAGUGGGAGUGUGGAGGAGGCAGGGGACCUGACAUUUGUGAGCCCUGACCUUGGGCCCUGCCCCAUGCUGGGUGCUUUAGGCACAUUUUCUUUCUUUUCUUUUUUUUUUUAAGAUUUUUUUGAUGUGGACCAUUUUUAAAGUCUUUAUUGAAUUUGUUACAAUAUUGCUUUUGUUUUAUGUUUUGGUUUUUUGGCCACGAGGCAUGUGGGAUCUUAGCUCCCGGACUAGGGAUCAAACCUGCACCCCCUGCAUUGGAAGGCAAAGUCUUAACCAGUGGAUCAUCAGGAAAGUCUCUACGCACAUUUUCUUAUUCAAGCCUCAGAACAACCUAAUGGACCAGAACUGUCUUCUACAAUUUAUGAAGGGACAACGUGGAGUAGUGGUGAGGAGCAGAGACUCUCUGGAGCCAGACUGCCCAGGUUCAGAUUAGAAGAGGCAGGAGAAGGAUAAAUAAGAAGUUAGAGUUUUGCGACCUCACCAACCAGAAAGUGUCUUUCCUGCAGUCUUUUUUAUGUGCAUGGAGAGAUCCUGCACACAUAUAUUUUAAUGUUUUAGUAAACCACAGUUUGUUUCAGAGCUUAUUUGAUUCACUCCUUGGCUUACUCCUUGCUUAGAGACAAGGUUUUUGCAUCUUCCACAGGUCAGUUUCACUCCACCUGACGCCUUCUGUGUACUGCCCCGGGGGACACACACGUGGCACAGGCCUCAGUGUGGCCUCUGGUGUGCAGCAUGCUGAGUGGCCUGGCCUUGGGGGAGGAAGAUGGCAGGGACUCCCCAGAUGACUGGCCACCUGACUCAGCUUCUCUGAGAAUCCCUGGACAAGAUGCCCUAACACAACGCCUCAGCAGAAGCGUUUGAGCUCGUGACAGGUGUUCCGGCAGAAGACCUCCCGGCGGACAUACUGAUUGUUCAUCCCCUGAAAAAGAAAAUAUCAGCCGAACCCCUGUAGAACACGCUCUCUUGGACUCUGGAAGAUGAGACAUUUGAGGAGUGAUAGAAUUCGCUUGUGGUCCCACAACUGUAACUGGCAGAAGGCAGGCUGCACACUUCUGAAUGUUUUCAAGCCCUUUACUAAAGAGGUUUGUCACAGAAAAUGGUCUCAACAUCUGACACAGCCGAGCAAGCAGCUUUGAGGAAAUUCCAAGGCGAGGGACCUUGGCAGCAGCAAUGGAAUCGACCAGCAGCAGGGCCUGCAGAGAUGCAAAACCCACCUGCUCUGGUAGGAGGAGCUGUGGUCCUACUGGAUGGAGCAGACCCUCGCUGUUUUUUUCUCUCUCUCUCUCUCUCUGUCCUCUCAGCACAUGACCCAGGUGUGGAUGCAGCCUCCAGAAGUGCACAGCAGAGCAGACAUGAAAACUGAGUCUGGGAAAGACUGAACAACAUGACCGUGAUCCCACAGCUGUACAACCACUCCUGAAUUUGAUGUGUCUCCUGGUCCUUUUUCUAGGCCUAGAGGAGGAGCAAACCAGGACUUCCUCAGGUACCUGGGCCUCACCUGCCCCAGAGAAUGAAGAGACCAGUCUCACCGUGCAGUCUGGGCAAGACACCAGGGUGGUGAGAGCACAGGCUCCGGACGCGCAGGCUCAGCGGCCAUGGCUCACGGGCCUAGCCGCUCCGUGGCAUGUGGGAUCUUCCCAGACCGG